CAUCUCUAGAGGUGAAGGGGCUGUCUGAGCCUCCAGAGGUCCCAGCAGUAGGAAACUACCUACCAGAACCCUGCCUCAGUCCACGCCAGUGGUUCUCAAUAUCCCUAAGGCUGCAACCCUCUAAGGCUGAGCAGCCCUGGUCUCCACCAUCUAAGCACAUACCUGUGGCUCGAAGAUCUCUGAGCUUAUCGAAAUCUCCCUCUAGCUGGGUAGACGUCUUAUCCUCGUCGGUGUCAGAUCUGGUGGCGUCACCCUGCACCCAGGCAACGCACGGAUGGCUACCAGCAGGUUGAAGAGCACAUAGUUCCCAAAGGUCAUGAGGGCCACAAAGUAAAGGGCGGCCCAAGACGAAGUGGAGGCCAUG